rnacentral:rRNA from 1 species
AGCGAACGCUGGCGGCGUGCCUAACACAUGCAAGUCGAACGGGAAAGGGAGCAAUCCCAAGUAAAGUGGCGUACGGGUGAGGAACACGUAGGUAAUCUACCCCAGAAUCUGGAAUAACCGGCCGAAAGGCUGGCUAAUACUGGAUAGAGCGACGGAAUCCGUAAUUGGGUUUUGCGGGAAAGGGAGCCUGUAAAAAGGCCUUCGUUCUGGGAUGAGCCUGCGUCCCAUGAGUUAGUUGGUGAGGUAAAAGCUUACCAAGGCAAUGACGGGUAGCUGGUCGGCGGGGGCGUUCCGCCACUCUGGGGCUGAAACGCGGUCCUGGCUCCUACGGGCGGCACCAGUGGGGACUCUUGCGCACAGGGCGGAAGUCUGCCGCAUCGACGCCGCGUGGGUGCAGCAAGCCUGCGGGUUGUAAAGCUCUGUCGAGUUGGACGAAAGUGCUUGGAGUUGACGGCUCCAGGGUCUGACGGUUCCACUAAAGGACGCACCCGCUCACUCCG